CGCUCCAUGGCCUAAUGGAUAAGGCAUCUGACUUCAGAUAAGAAUAUUGUGGGUUCGAGUCCCGUCGAGGUCG
rnacentral:tRNA from 1 species